rnacentral:rRNA from 1 species
UACGUAGGGGGCUAGCGUUGUCCGGAAUCAUUGGGCGUAAAGCGCGUGUAGGCGGCCCGAUAAGUCCGCUGUGAAAGUCCAGGGCUCAACCCUGGGAUGCCGGUGGAUACUGUCGGGCUCGAGUCCGGAAGAGGCGAGUGGAAUUCCUGGUGUAGCGGUGAAAUGCGCAGAUAUCAGGAGGAACACCAAUGGCGAAGGCAGCUCGCUGGGACGUGACUGACGCUGAGGAGCGAAAGCAUGGGGAGCGAACAGG